rnacentral:misc_RNA from 1 species
GAUGAAGAACGUAGCGAAAUGCGAUAAGUAAUGUGAACUGCAGAAUUCAGUGAAUCAUCGAAUCUUUGAACGCACAUUGCGCCCCUUGGUAUUCCGAGAGGCAUGCCUGUUCGAGCGUCAUUAUAACCCUUCAAGCUUAGCUUGGUGUUGGGGCCUGCUAUCAAUGGCAGCUCUUAAAAUCAGUGGCGGUGUCACUAGGCUCUAAGCAUAGUAACUUUUCUUGCUAUAGUGUCUGGUGGUCGCUAGUCAGAACCCCCUAAAUUUUUUUAUGAUUGACCUCGGAUCAGGUAGGGAUACCCGCUGAACUUAAGCAUAUCAAUAAGCGGAGGA